UGCUCGACAUCCUGACUGGCAGCCUGGAGAGCAGACAGCGCAGCAUGGCAGGGGUCUCGCUGCUGUGUUGCCCAGGCUGGCCCUGGGCUCAAGUGAUCUCCUGCUUCAACCUCCUGAGUAGCUGGGACUACAGCCACAUGCCACUACACCUAGCCAAUGCCUUGACCCUGUAAAACUCCUCAUUAGUCUUCUGACCUGCAGAAAUGGAAAAGAAUAAAUUUGAGUUAUUUUAUAACAAAAA